rnacentral:rRNA from 1 species
UGGAGGGCAAGUCUGGUGCCAGCAGCCGCGGUAAUUCCAGCUCCAAUAGCGUAUAUUAAAGUUGUUGCAGUUAAAAAGCUCGUAGUUGAAUUUCGGGGUUCAUACGUUGGUCGGGCUUUUUGGUCUGUACUUAUGUAAUGGAUUCCUACCUUCUGAAUAACCGGCAUGUCAUUAAUUUGGUGCGCCGGGGAAGCAGGACUGUUACCUUGAAAAAAUUAGAGUGCUUAAAGCAGGCUAUCGCCUGAAUACAUUAGCAUGGAAUAAUGAAAUAGGACGGCAUGGUUCUAUUUUGUUGGUUUCUAGGAUCACCGUAAUGAUUAAUAGGGAUAGUUGGGGGCAUUAGUAUUCAAUUGUCAGAGGUGAAAUUCUUGGAUUUAUUGAAGACUAACUUCUGCGAAAGCAUUUGCCAAGGAUGUUUUCAUUAAUCAAGAACGAAAGUUAGGGGAUCGAAGACGAUCAGAUACCGUCGUAGUCUUAACCAUAAACUAUGCCGACUAGGGAUCGGACGACGUUAAUUUUUUAAUGACUCGUUCGGCGCCUUACGGGAAAC